rnacentral:lncRNA from 10 species
CAGGGGGUAGAGUGGGGACAGAGACAACUGUUUCAGGCAGGGCUGCAAGCUUAUAUGAGGCCAAAACUAAAAGGCUAGGAUGCAAACAGAGAAAUGGUGAGAGAAGUCUAGUGAGGGCAGGAUUUUAGGGCUUGAAAAAAGGAUUUUCUCUUAAGUGCAGCAGGACACCAUCACUGAAUCUUAUAUUCAAGGCAACUCACUCAGACCCAUGGGGAUGAGAUCUGAGGAGAAAGUCAGACAACUGGUUGGGAAAUAUAAUACCCAGAAUAAAAAUGACAGUGGGCAAGACUAGGGUGGUACGGGAAGGAAUCAUUCAUUCAUUCAAUAAAUAAGAGCUGCAACUAUGUGUCAGGUGCCCUACUAACGUAUUGAGCAGUCUAGUGGUGGAAAUCUAUUAACCAAACAAGCAACAAGGACAAAAUAUAAAAUAUUAAUUAUAUUCAAGUCACAAAAAAGAGACAGAUGAUGCUAUGAGACUGAGAAACAAGAGAAGCCUUUCCUAAUGGUUCAGGAAAAUCUUCUCUUGAGGAAGGGUCACCUGAACUAAAUUCUGAAGGUUGAGUGGAAGCUAACUGAAGGGUGUCGGGUGAGGAGAUGGAAAUAAUCUUCAGGAAGUAAGAAUAGCAUUUACCAAGAAACAGUAAGUCAGGCAAUGUGGUAGGACACUAGGAGCAAAGAGGGGUGUGAUUAAGAUGAAGCUGGAGAGUGGGUUGGGACUGGACUGUGCAGCAUUAAGUAUUUUGGUCUUUAUCCUAAGAACCAGGGGAAGCCAGGAAAGUGUUUUAAGCUGGGGUGUGACAAUGAAACCAUCAAGUUCGUGUUUUGGAAAGAUUGUUGUGGCUUACGGGUGGGUGUGGGGAAGCAGAGAGAACCACUAGAGCAGAACAGCAGGAAGCUGCUAGGAGGUGGAGGACACAGUGACUGUGAAGACUGUGGGGUUUCUGGCUUGGGUUUCUUAAAUAUCCUCCAUUUGCGACGGGGAUAAGACCACACUGUUUGGAAAGAAGAAGGCGUUUGCAUCUGCUUAGUCACUAGGGCAAGAACUAGGUCAUUUUGUGUCACACAUUAUUGUAUCGCACGUUAAACUGUUGGGGAAUGGGACUGAGGAAGGAGGAUGGUAGAA